AAGGUGGGGAUGACGUCAAAUCAUCAUGCCCCUUAUGACCUGGGCUACACACGUGCUACAAUGGGCGGUACAAAGGGUCGCGAACCCGCAGGGGAGCCAAUCCCAAAAAGCCGCUCUCAGUUCGGAUUGCAGGCUGCAACUCGCCUGCAUGAAGCCGGAAUCGCUAGUAAUCGCGGAUCAGCAUGCCGCGGUGAAUACGUUCCCGGGCCUU
rnacentral:rRNA from 1 species